ACUUUUUUUUUUUUUUUUUUGUAAAACAAGUAUACACAUUUCCUACAUAGUAUCCGAAUUGCUAAACACAAUACGCGACAGAUAUUAUCUAAAUUAGGUCGAACAAAACAUAUCAAUAAACUUGUCGCUAGUUGUAAGCUCAGCAGAAAUGUGAUGUUGUUGACCUUUUUUUGUGAACAGAUGUGGUGUUGUUGACCUGGAAAAUAAAGCUGGUCUUGUCCCAAAGUGAAAAGGAUAACAUUUAAUUUUCCUAUAAGAAAUAUGAAGAGUAACCUUGUUUUGUACAGCUAGAAUGAAAACAAAAGUGCUGAGGAUCUGUUUUCUUCUAAGGUUUGCGGUCAAGUGUUAAGUAAAAGAAAGUACAAAGCAGGCAGUUCCUGAAGGUUAGUAAUCAAAUGGAUCCAAGAAACAGUGGAAAUAUAUAGAAAAGAAAUCUUCAACUGAGGCAAGUUUCUUAUUAGUCAACACUGACCAUGUGGCAUGAUAUAAAUCAUGGAAUAAGUUCAACAUUUUUAGUUGUUUUAUGUAGGAGAAAAAACAGGUAGAUGAUGGACAAUGACAAGAAGACAAAUCAAAGUAUACAGGCAACAAGAAAGGUGUUGAUCUGAAAUUCAAGAAACAUUCAAUGUUUGACGAAAUUAAUUUCUUGCGUGUUCGGUGUGCUUAAUUAGUAAUGGUAAGUAGCGGUCAUGAUAUUUAAUAUGGGAUAUUCACAAAAUAUUUAGAUAUUUAUUCACUAAAUCAAUUUAUUAUCCACUGAGUGACAAAUGAUGCAAUAAAUUUUGGCUAGGAUAAGCAAAUUAUCAUGGUAGCAACACCAAUAUACAUUUUCUGUAUUUUUACUCUCCCAACCCCUCCUCACACCCUAUCUAUCCUCAACUGCUAGACAUAAAAUUCAAAUUCUUAAACUCUAAACUUGACAGUGAUGAGGAUUUUAAGAAUCCUUUCCUAAUCAUUAAGCCAACCCCAAUGAUUUUACAAAAGUUUCAUUCAAGGCCAUCUUCAUUUUUUUUUUGUCUGUUUAAAGUUAUUUUACAUCUAUCGUUUUUGCAUUUUUAAUCGGAAUGCUUUCAAGAUUCAGUCAUUUAGAAUAUUGACUCAAAUCGCCGGUCGCCACUAGAAAGACUUGAAAAGCCAAGUCUCUUGGCCGGGCAAGACACGAGCAAAGUGGCAUAACUAGAUGACUGCGAGAUGUAUGAUCAACUUGUUAUUAAUUUAUAGCUUGUGCCUUCAGUUGUCUUCAUUUUUUUUUUUUUUGGCUCGAAGUUCCAACUGAACUGGGUACUACGGAAAAUAAGAAUGAGACAGUAAGACAUGUUUGUAUUGUUGCCAGCACUAGACGUAUUUCAGCCAACAUCCAUGGUGACAGUGAUGGAGUCGGGACUUAUGGUCAGUAGCGGCAAUAUUAUAUAUAUAAAAUGAUGUCGUUAUUAUGCAAAGAGAAUUUUAAUUAAAGAUAAUCUUUUUAUUAUGAGUUUUUUGUGUUGAGAAAUUAUUGAAUUUAUUUCUUAUUCAAGUAGUAAACAAUUUUAUGUUUUAAUAGCUUUAAAACAUUUGUAUUGUAGGAGAGAUGUUUCAAAAAUUGGUUGGUUAAGAAGAUAAUGUAAAGGGAAUGAGGAUUUCUCAAGGGGCAAUGUAAAGGAAAAACUUGUACUUUUCAAAAUGGGAAAUUUGUCAAAUUGGUUCCUAACUUUUUUAGUUUCUAACAUUUAAAUCAAUUAGAAUAACCCCUAACAUAUAAAUUAUGAGCCAAUUUGGUCCUAAUGCUCGUAUUUGCCCAUUUCUCCGGUAAAAAAUAGCACGUCUCUCUCACGUGAGUAUAAUUUCAAGGGCAAAACUGGAAAACACACUUCGUUUCUGGUUUCCAUCUUUCUUUCAUAUUUCCCCAAUUAAACCCUAAUUGCCUCGCAUCAAAACCAAAAUUGAAGAGGAAAAAAGCGGCUACAACUGGAUGAUUGUGCAAUUGAGAAAGAAUAACAAAAAAAUGCAAAGAAACUGACCUAUUGAAGAGUACAAUGGAUCUGAACAACAAACGAUAUCUUUGUGAAAAGGAACGCAUCAUUGGGAAUUCUUGGAAACCUAUAAAUCCGGGAAGAAGAUUCUAUACCUACCCAAAUUAUGAAAUAAGCUUUCUAAACAUUCUCAUGUUCAUCCGGGGGAGCGAAGUAUGUUUUUCAAUUUUGCCCUUGAAAUUAUGUGAGAGAGGCUUGCCAUUUUUAGCCAAAGAAAUGAGCAACUACGAGCAUUAGAACCAAACCGACUCAUAAUUUAUAUAUUAGGGACUAUUCUAUCUGAUUGUAAAUGUUAUGGACUAAAAUUUUUUUUUUUUUUUUUAAAUGUCAGGGACCAAUUUGGUAAAUUUUCCUUUCAAAAUUGAGGGGAUGCAGUUAUGACAAAAACAUAAAUAUUUUUAAUAGUUUCAAGGCUACUCUUUAAAUUUUGUAAAGUUGAGAGGAAGGGAGGGCAAUUGACCACCCUCAACAUGGUGGGGCUCCGCCACUACAUGGUGGUGCCAACCAACGCUGAACAUCUUUUUCUCCAGAGAAACAAUUAACUAGUACUCCAUCUCGCAAUUAGCAGGUGGAUGUUUCCUAGUAAAGUGAGUACAUAUACAAAAAGAAACUCGGAAAACAGCAUCCCCAUGUGUUUUAGCGUUUAAGGUUGGUAAAAUGAAGGUUCAAGCAAGUUAUACAUUUUUUGUUGAAAGAAAUUGAUGAAGUUGAAAAAACUUUCUUUUUUUCAAAAAAAAAAAUUGUUGGUGCAUGUGUGCGUGUUAUAUUUUUUUUAUUAUUUAUUUUUGGUGGGGGAUGGGGCUGGGCACGGUCGCUAGCCCUUGUAACACAGAAAUUUCUUUCAAGCCAAAUAGCCAAAGCAAAUUGAACAAGAGAUUAUUUGAAAUAUUAUUUAAAAUAAUUACAUAUAACACUUUGAUAUAUAAUGUAUAUGAGACAAAAAAAAGUGAUUAAAAAGAUUUAAAAAAUGUAUCAAAAAAUGUAUUGGUGAUUCAAAUAAAUAAUUUUAAAUUAAUAUUUCAUAUACUGACAGUGUAUACAAUUUCGCCAUAUAUGACACAGAAUCUGAAUUUAAAUUUGAAAUUCAAAUUUUACAUAUGCAUCGUGCAUCCAACCAUUAUAAUUUAUAGCGCAUAUAAGAUUUACUCAAUAAUUUUUUACGAUUAAUUCCUAUCCAAACACGCAUUCAACCGUUGAGACGACAUCAAAAGUACAAUUAAUACUAUGGAAAACAUAGACCGAUUCCCAAAUGCCAGGUCAGUUAGCCGUGACUUAAGGGCCUUAGGGGCUAAGGUUGCAACGUGGGCAGAAAUCAAAUGCUUGCCUUUCCCCACAUGUUCCGUAAAGCCAACUCAACUUUAGGAAAAAUAUCAAAGCAAUUUAAGCAAAAGAAUAAAGACAUGAAAAGGGCAAAAAAGAAGAAAAGAAAAGCUAAUUGCGUUAAUAUAUAAAGAAGAGGUCAAUGCCAUAAAGCAAUGACUCACUAUCAUCAUUGAAUGUCCAAUACAGAAAAACAAAAAGGCAGUAGUAGCUGUUCAAAUCAUCCUCUGGUCCACCUUUUUAAAACUUUUCUUCCCAAGUAAGCAUCCCUAUUAAAGAAUUACGGGCUGAUCUAAAGAAGGCAACAAGAGAGCACUAGCCGGCCAAGUAUUACAGAUAAAAAUAUCACCAAGCAGUUGAGUGAAGACAUCAGAGAGUAUGCAAUCACCUUGCUUCAAGGCAGCUGAACGAGUAUGCCUGUACGGUUGCUGCACCAGUCCUCUACUUGUUACCAGUGAGGACCAGGAGCCCCAAAAGACGAGCUCCAAGUCCAAAAGCACAUUGGCUAGUUGCCGGCAAGGCUUUGCUGCCAUAACUGCUUCCACUUUCUUCCCAAACACACACUUCACCAACCAUGAAAAUCUCCCCUCUCAGCAAGAAUCACUUGUCCAAUUCACCAAAGCAUAUCCUCGAUAUUCAGAGACGUCCCAGGUGGACCAAAUACGAGCUGAAGAGUACUAUCAUCUAUCACUCUCCAAACACAUCUGCCUGGAUUACAUUGGUAUUGGUCUCUUUUCCUACUUACAAAUUCAGUCUCAGUCUUCCUCAGCAGUCCCAGUAACAUCAUCUUCUUCUCCGCCCCCAAGAAUUUCUGAUGCUUCAUUCUUCAAUCUAUCAUACAAAUCAGUUAACCUCAAGUCGCAACUACUUCAUGGAGGCCAAGGAUCACAUCUGGAAUCUGUCAUCAGGAAAAGGAUCAUGGAUUUUCUUAAUAUUUCUCAAAAUGAUUACUGUAUGGUAUUUACUGCAAAUAAAUCAUCAGCUUUCAAGCUACUAGCAGAAUCCUACCCUUUCCAACACAGCCGAAACCUUCUCACAGUUUAUGACUACGAGAGUGAAGCACUGCAGACCAUGGUGAAUACAUCAGAGAGAAGAGGAGCCAAAAUCAUGUCAGCUGAGUUCAAGUGGCCACGGCUAAGGGUUCACUCAACAAAACUCAGGAAAAUGAUUGGCAGGAAGAAUAAAAAGAAAAAACACCAGGGUCUAUUUGUCAUACCCCUCCAGUCGAGAAUGACUGGUGCCAGUUACUCUUAUCAGUGGAUGAGUAUCGCACAAGAAAAUGGCUGGCAUGUCUUGCUUGACGGCUGUGCAUUGGGACCAAAAGACAUGGGCAGCUUUGGGCUUUCACUCUUCCGUCCUGACUUCCUCAUUUGCUCCUUCUACAAGGUUAUUGGGGAAAACCCAACCGGAUUCGGAUGCCUCUGUGUGAAAAGAUCAACAGUUCAAAUUCUGGAAGCUUCCACGGGUACCGGAAUAGUAAGUCUUGUACCAGCAAAUCAACCCUCUCAGGAAGAUUCUUCUGGUACAGACACAGAACUAGAACAGAUAUCCAUACCUGAGGCAAAAGAAGAAAUGGAUAGAGAGAUUUUUCCUUCAGGUCUUAUUGUUUCUCAAGGUAGACAAACUAAAAGGCCAACUGAAAGUGAGACUGCUACGACACAAGAAAUGGAUACUACCUCAAAAGCAGAAAGACUGGGAGAUUCAGAAACUAUGAAAUCUAAAAGGGCCAUUGUCUCAUACAACAACAGCGAUGUUAAACUACCUGAAAAUGAAGGAGCAGGCAUGCAAUUUAGGUGUCUGGAUCACGUGGACUCAUUGGGACUGAUGCUGAUUAGUAGCAGAGGAAGAUACCUGAUCAAUUGGCUGGUUAGUGCGAUAGUCAAGCUUCAGCAUCCUAACAGGUUGGAUAACUUUCCCCUGGUAAAAAUCUAUGGGCCAAGGAUUAAAUUUGACCGAGGACCUGCAUUGUCAUUUAAUAUAUAUGACUGGAAAGGAGAAAAGGUUGACCCUAUACUGGUGCAGAAACUUGCAGAUCGCAAUAAUAUUUCUCUCAGCACUGGGUUUUUACACAACAUUUGGUUCUCAGAUAAGCAUGAACAAGAGAAGGAUAAAAUCCUGGAGACAAGAAAGAGUCAAGAAAAGGAGAAGGCAAGAAACAAGAGUAGAAAGGCUGAUCAAAAAAUACAAAUAGUUACAGCUGCACUUAGUUUCCUGGCCAAUUUUGAAGACAUGUACAGGUUUUGGGCUUUCAUAGCUCAAUUUCUGGAUGCAGACUUUGUGGAGAAAGAGCGAUGGAGGUACACAGCUCUUGAUCAAAAGACAGUGGAAGUCUGAGGUUAACACCUGUGUAGAAAAGAGAUUAGUGUUUUCACAACUAACAUUUUUGAGGUUGAAUUCGAAAAUGCUCAGCAUCAUCUUAAAAUUGUAUCUUGCAUCUAAAUUAUGAGGAAAGACCUGAUCAUCUUGUAAUAACUAACAUUUGAGUAAGCAUUUUCUGUGUCCUUUCUUUUCAACAGAGGAAAUAGAAGUCAUCUAUUUGGCUUCUUUUAGGAAGACCAGGCAAUUCCAUCUUUUGCCCACUCAUGCCCGUAAUACUAAUAGAUAGUAAUGUUAUGGCUGCUAAUCAUAAUUCAACAACAUAGAUUGAUGAAUCAGUAAGAGGCAAACAGCUGAUUGAAUUUUUUUCAUCUAGGACGUCCUAACAAUACGAGCACUAUGAUGCUAAUUGGAAAAGUAAACAACCACAAUUCCUCUUUAGCAUCUCGAAAUUUCAGGAUUUAUAAAAUCGAAAUGACGAAGCAAAUUGGGGAUGAACAGAUAUCAAAUAAUUUGGUACAUCGUACAAAUCUUGCAAUGGCUUGAAAUUUCAGACACUGUUAUGAUGCAAAGUUUCAACUCGUUAAAGGCUCACUAUGUAGCCUGACAAAACUUGAUAAGCUGCUAUGCAAUUAAGAAUCAACCAAAUCUUAAUAACCUGAUGGACAUCAUUAUUCUGUUUUUUAUCAACAACGAAAAGCAAUGAAAAGUUUUAAAAAGUUCAGUUGCUCCAGAAAGCAACAGCUAAUAAGCAUCUCAAUUUCCAGUAGCAAAGAGUGGAAGUACAACUAAGAUGGCUACAAAGCAGUAAAAAAAGAUGUCUUACAUGGUUGUCAGCUUCUUUAAGUUGAACAGCAGUAAAGGGGAUUAGCUUUUCUGCAUCCAAACCAAGUAUUGCUGCAUUUAGCAAUUCUUUUCCAUCAUCCAGAACAAUCCCAAUAUGGCAUCUGUUAUAUGUUACAAUAUCAACUCAUUUUAUCAAAAAUUUGUUUAGUGGAAGUGAUUUAUUGACUGUAAGAUUAGAAAGUUGUGUAUUAUAGUUAUCUAGCCUCAAUCUCUGUUUCUUCCUUGCAUGAAGGACACUUGAUAAUCAAGUCUAUAUCUGCAUGGACUGAUUUUUGGCAGUUGAAAUAUGCAGUGUACCAGAAUCUUGAUUGUCCUGGAAGCAAUUUGGUUUUUCCUCUUAUCCACGAUGUCUUGGUCUGUUGAAGUUGUCUUAUAAGAUAUAGACUAAAAUAUGAAUUUUCUAAAUAGAAGUAGAAACACUUGCAUCCUUCAGUGUGUUGAUUGCACUCUCAGUGUCAAUUAUGUCUUCUUCCCUUGGAGGUGGCAGCAGUUUGUUGGAGUCUUUAUAAGCAGCAUCUUCAACCAACUUUACCAAUUCUCCUCUGUGAACAUUGUACCUGCAUUAUCACCUUAACUAAGCCAAAAAUAUCAAAACUCCAGAAAAAGUCAAAAAGCUUAAAAGGAUUAUCUUACCAAGCUUUCAAGCUGUUUGUUUCUUCUCUUGGAGGAUUAAUUAAUAAGCAAGUUGAAAGUCUUGCACUGAGGGAUAGAUCUGCAGAAGAACAACUCAGAAUCCAGCAAUAAGAAUUAGUAUAACAAGUAAUAAUGCUAGUGUAAAUAUGUUUGAAGAUUUAACUCACAGCCGAAAGUGGUAACUUUCAGCCUCAUAGCAAUAAGAACAUUGCCAUUUGCAAUUGUAUUUGCAAGUAGAGUUCCCUCAUUCUGUUUGAACUCAUUCCACAGAGUAAGCGCCAUCAUAUUUCCCCUGAAGAAAGCAUAUGAAAUUUAUUCCAUUUUGUCGAAUGACAGACACUUUGGAAAAUAUGCAAAACAGCCAAAAUUCUGUGCCUCACUCUUGAUCAACAAUGAUGGAAUCUCUUGUGAAAUUAGUCCAUGUUCCUUUGCAGGAAAAGCAUGGAUGACAACAGCUUGUACAUCUUCAAUUCAAAGAAAGAAGAAUAUUAGUUCAGCUUAAUUAAGUUCAUGAAUCCAAACAAACAAAUUAAGUUUUAAAUAUAGUUUGUAAAAGAAAUUACUUACCCUGCAGGUUGUCUUGAUCUGCAUAUCUGAAGAAAUCAGAGAAUCUCUUCAGCUGGAAGGUGCACGGCAGAUUUGGAGGAAUUGGUUCAAGAUGCUAUUCCACCAGAGUGUAAUUGUUGAUCACCCAAGAGCAGGUAUAGUCACUAACUUGGUAUUUUGGUUCUUGUAGUUUAACAGAAGCAUUAGAGAUGUAAUAUCUCUUAAAUGGUUGCAGCAAAGUAGCGAAUAUCGCUGCCAUGUAUGGCUGCUGAAACUGUAGUUCCCUGUUUAUUUGAAAGUGGAAAAUGUAAGUAAAAAUUUACCACGUGUCUCAAGAUGUGUCUCAGAUUGUUUGACUUGUAAUAACAGUUAUUUUUACCUAAGAAUCUGUCAAGAGGGAGUGCAUAAUGUUCCUUGGUGGUGUUUCACAAGUAAGCUGCACAUCUCCAGCCUCAACCACUUGCACAAGCACAGUCCAUCCCCUCAUCUUUUCACGAACUUCAAGCACUGGAAGGUAGCUCCUCAGCGUUGUUAUCUGGAAAGAUAAAGCAUGAGACUAAUUUCAUAUUCAUUAAAGAAAAGGAAAUGAGACAUUUCACAAAAGAAAUAGAAAUUUCAUGAGACUAAUUUCAUAUUCAUAGAAUGACUACUAUGAAAUAGAGGAAAUACAGUACCAGAUCUACUAAGAGUAUGCCACAUGAUAAAGUCCAUUGCAGAAGGACAGUGUUCCUGCAACCUCUCAUGGCUUAAAUGAUUUACCCACGUGGUUAAGAUAUCAGGGUAAACAAUUUUUCACUGUAUCAUCAGUUCAUGAUUACAUUGCUCAUGAACUACUUCAUUGUCUGUGCUAUUCUGCUGCAUUUCUUGUGUCUUCGUUUAUGUACCAAGAAAAUCAAAAUAAAAGGCUCAAAACACAGGGAAUGGUACUAAUCCAACCAUUGCAGUAACUAAUAGACAAUCAAACCAUUGCAGUAACUAAUAGAUAAUAAAAUUGAAACUUUUCAAAAACACAAAAAAUGACAGUUCUCUAACAAAAAUAGACAUCCAUCGUCACAGCAUCCAGUAACCAACUUCAAUUUGCAGAAAACAAAACUAAGAAAAGUCAUAAUGAAAGCCUUAACACAUAAAGGGCAGUAACCAUCCUCUUCUCAGUCAAACUUAAAGCAUGCAGAGGUCCAACACUAGAGAUGAAAUGGUUCAUAAAUUUAGAAAGUACAACAACCGAUUUUAUAACAUAAGCUUCAAAAUUAUAAAUUGAUAAUAAAAUCUCCUUGUUGAACAUGAUUCUAGCUUAAAAAUCUUCACGUAUCUUUAACUUUUUAACUAUUCUAACAUGCUAGAUUUCAAGCACAUUUUUCCUGUCAAUUGAAGUAGCUCUUAGUAAGCAAAGUAAGAAACAAAACCACCAGGUUACAAUGUCAAUAACUAUAUGUAUAAAGGAAGGCAAAAGAUUAAGAAGGAAAAAAAUUGGCAUAAUAUUAAAGCAUCCGUGAGAGACGAAGUACAUGUGAUUGCGUCCAAGAAAUUCUUGAAAAAGACCAAAAGAAAACGAAGCAAACAGCUAAAUCACAAUAUACUACACAACCACUAUUAACAGGGGAAGAAAAAGCAAUGAACAAAAUGAGAGCAAAAGCUAGUAAACUGAUAAAAAAAAGUACUUAACAUGAUUCCAGCUUCAAGACUUAUACAAAGUGGUUUUAAUUGCGACUGCUGUGGUGGUUUUAAUUUGCACACAUGUGGUUUUACUAAGUAAGAUGUACUUAACAUGAUUCCACUUUUAAUUUAGCAACCCACUCUCCAUAUGCCAAGUCUAACUUGUUAAGUGCUCUUCCGUCACUCUCCAUAUGCCAAGUCUAACUUGUUAAGUGCUCUUCCGUUCUUAUUAUGAAUCACCUUUGCUAGGUUUCAACUCACUUUCUUGCUCCAAAUUUAGUACCGUCUUAGCCAGCAGAGAAUAAGAAAUAAAAUAAAGACCACCAUACUACGUGUGCAAAUAGUAAGAGUAUGUAUGUACAUGAUACAUCUAAAACAUCUCAAAAGGCCAAAAAGGACUUCUAUUAAACACAAAAAGGUGUAGGGAACAGACUGUUUUAGAAACGUAACUUAACAUGCAAUAACUUAGUUGAAUUUGAAAAAAAUACAUGAAAAAAGCAAAGCCAAUCAGCAAGAUCAAACUAUGUAGAGGUCCAAAAACCUGAGAUGAAAUGAUUCAAGAUUAAUAACUAAUUUUUAUACUAUAAGCUUCAAGAUUAUAGAUUGAAAACAAAAUCUAGUUGUUUAUCAUGUUUCAGCUUCAAAACAAUCUUCAAUUUUUUAACCACUCUAACAUGCUAGAUUUCAAGCACAAUUUUACAAUGCCAUAAGAUUAGCAAAAAAAUUGGCAUAAAAUUAAAGCACAUAUCAGAGACAAAGUGUAAGUGAUUUCAUCCAAAAAAUUCCGGAAAAAGGACCAAAAGAAAAUAAACUAAACAGCAAAAGCACAAUGUACUUAAUAACUUCUGUCAACAAGGGGGGAAAAGAAAGCAAUGAACAAAAUGAUAGCGAAAAGCACAAAAGCUGACAAGAAAUCCUACUUAACAUGAUUCUAGCUUCAGUAUUGUUGAUGUAAAUUUAACUUAUUAACUACUCCAACAUGGUAGAUUUCAUGCAAAAAAAAUUUUCCCUUCCAAUUCAGUAUUCUCUUAGUAAGCAAAAUAUGAAGUAAAACCACCAAGUUACAUUGGCAGUUUCUAUGUGUUCAGAGAUGGAGUAUUAAGUGAAUUCCGCCAAAAACUUUCUAAGGAAAAAAAAAAGACCAAAGGGAAAUAGAGUAAAAGCAAAAUCAACCAUUAUCAAGCAGGGCCAAAAAAAAUCAAUGAAAAAAUGAGAGCAAAAAGGAGAAGCCAUACCAAAGGAAGCUAGAAGAACAAGGCUCGUCUCCAGGGCACCGUGGGUUGCAAACUUGGGAUUAUGGAUAAGGCCACAACAAAAAGCACCGAUCAAUUCCAUAGUCGAGGUAAUACAAUCAGUGAAGGGUUUGAGAUUGAGAGAGUACAGUGAAAAAGAGUGAGCCGUUUUCACGUGACAGAGAAUACAGGAGCAUGGAGGUUGAGCCGUAAGAACUAAGAAGCAUCUUUUCAAUCAAAUCUAUGUAAACAGGCUUAUUCAAGUUUGUUUGAUUAUUUUGAUGAAAUUGAAAUUUUGUUUAAUUCUCACUUCUCAAAUUAAGGUGGAACCAACUUUUUAUUGAGCAAAAUUAUUUGCAUGUAAAUUUGUAAAUUUUACUUAUGUACUAAUUUGAAUUUACUUCUUAAGUUAAGGUCAAAGAAACGUUUUAUUUUACAUGUAAAAUUGUAAAUUUUACUUAGGGAAAAUUGCACAAAUCAUCCCUCACAUAUUAACGAUAUGAAAAUUUAGUCCCUGAGAACGAAAACUAGUAUUUUUAGUCUAUUACAAACAAAAAAUGAUCAAUUUUAGUCCCUGUUAGCUUUUUCGUGUGAAUUCUUGACAGACUCAGUCAUGGGAACAUCACGUGACCAACUUUUGAGGGACAAAAAGGGCAAGUCACUCAGAUCUUGACCAAAAUGUAAAGGACCAGUAUCUUUCUUCCUUCAAAGCACACGGACUAGAAACAAAAAAGUGAGGGACCAAAGAUAAACCAAAUGCUUUCAAUCGAAACCAAUCGCAAAUCCAGUAGCAAACAAAGGUGACGAAGCAAAUCAGUGAUCAGAGAAGAUAUACUUGAUAAUGAGUGGAGAGGACGACCAUCAAAUCCCAGCUUAUGGUAAGUAUCUCUGAACCCUAGGAUGCGAUGUUUGUUAAUUGAUUGAAAAAUAUGUUUAAAUACAAUGGAUACGUUUGGAUUGGCCAAUUUUACAUAAUUUACCUCAGAUUUUUGACUUGCAUGAUUAAGUUUAUUGGAACAUAAGGGACUCAUUUAUUGUUGUGAAAUGACUUGCAUUUAUGAUUACAAAAAGUUGGCAGAAAGGAUAGAUUGACGGAUGGUAAAUUCUAUGGACACAUGCGGGACCCAUUUGAGGCUGAAAUAGAUAAUUUGACCCAAUUUGCUUACCUAGUCAAACAAGUGGGGCCUUCAAUUUGAAAAUUAGUUAGGCGUCCGAUUUGAAAUCCUGAUUUGCGCACUGAACAUGGAACAUCUGAACAUGGAACAUAUAAUAAAGCAAUGCGGUGGUUAAAGAAACAAGCAUGCGCAUGUUUUUUCGCUGGCGCCUCCGUUUGUGUGAUGGAAAAUACAGGUUUGAAGUCACACCUACCGAGUGCUUACAGGAGGUUACAGCUAUAUAACAAGGUGUAAAACAACUCAAACGGAAGGGAAAUGGGAAUCAAACGAUAGUAAAUAUGCAUAAUACUUAGGCACAGCAUACCCCUUUCUCCAAAAUUAGCAAAAAUCGACACUACUAAAACGGGGUUUUUUAUAACUUUCGGGCAAACAAAAAAAAGAUUAAUAUAAUUCACCCAUAUCUGAAUUACCGCUGGCGUGUAUUUCUAUAGGUAUUGAACAUAUGAUUGGGCAUUGCAUCUCUCAUGCCAAUCCAUUGGUUAAUCACUUCAAGAGGGUUUGUAGUGGCUGUAUCUCCGGAUAGGGAGGAAUUGCACCAUUUGUGUCUGGAUCUCUUAUUUCGGGGUUGGCGAAGUAAUAGUCAUUCGGUUGUUGAUCUCUAAUGAAAUUGUGCACAGCACAACAGGCAAUAACAACGUUUAUCUGAGUAGUCAUCAUAUAGUGGGGUAUGGCGCCCCGCAAGAUAGCAAAUCUCCUCUUAAGGACACCAAAUGUUCGGUCUAUGACAUUUCAUAGAAUAGAAUGUCUGUAAUUAAACAGUUCCUUGGCCGUGGCAAAUCUCCCCCUUCUACGACUACUAACAUCCGCUUGGCGUCCUCUAUAGGGCAGUAAGAAACCGGGUAAGUUCCGAUACGCGGAAUCAACCAAAUAGUAUUUGCCUAUACCAAAUGUAUUUUAAAAAAUAUGCAAUUAGCAGUGUGAAAUUAAUGCUAAAUAGAAAGAACAAUGGUGUAACUCGCAUACCUGGGGGGCAUUGGGAAAUGAUUUGGGUCCGUUAGAGCCCCAUCCAAAACACGAGUAUCAUGGGCACUUCCCUCCCAACCUGUAUACACGUAUACAAACCUCAUAUCAUGAUCACAUACAGCCAACACAUUUUGUGACUAUACUCCGUGUCUAUUUGUGUAUGCCACCUGCUGUCCACUAGGGACAAAAGUGGGUAUAUGUGUCCCGUCAAUAGCCCCAACUGUGUCCUUUAAAAAAAAUUCUCUUCAGCUUGGCGAAUUUAAUAACGAAUUAAGGCAAUUACCCAAUGAAUUAGGUAUUAUUAGUUUUUUCCUACAAACAAAAUAUGCUUAAAAAAACAAGGCAAACAAGUUAAAGCAAUUGGACAAACAAGAUGAUGAAAUGCGUACAAUAAAGCAAUUGAUGAAAUAGUUCAUUAAUCGUUGAACCAAUAAUAGUUCAUCAAUUUUGAGGGUUGCGGUGUUUCUUUUCUGCAUCUUUGGUUCAUUGGCGCAAGCGUUUGUACUUGCCUAUUUCAUGAUGUCACACAAGCCCAUGAGAUUGCCUUUCCUGUGUUGGACUUCCAAAAUAUUGAGGGCGUUACUUAUCCAAGAUGGGCUUUUGUGAAUAAUGAGCACGGACCAGGUUGGUAGCUUCUACUUUGGAUCUGCCACUUCCAUUAUUCUCAUUUGCUAUACAAAUCCCAUUAUUAUCAAUUACUAUACAAAUUAAUAUAAAUAUUAAUUAUUUUUGCAUAAUAUAAAUAGAAUAAUUGUGAUGUUAAUUGGUAUCUUAGCAGAAAAUCUAAUAAAAUAUAGUGUAAUUUGGACUUUUUUUUCCUAAAAUAUAGAGUGUAACUUGGACUUUUUUUUCCUAAAUCUAAUAAAAUAUAGACUGUUUUGACUUUUUUUCUUAAAAUAGUUCAUAUAACAAUUCCAUUAACAACUAUUUUCUUAUUUUACUUCAUGAAGGAAGGAUAAGUUCCAUGAUAGUCAACUCAUACACUAAUUGAUACAAGUUUCAUGUCAUACACGCAAUUAGUUAAUUAGUCUACCAUUUUUAAUUAGUUAAAGACUUAAAGUGGCACUAGUGCCUUUCUUACAACAAUAGCACGAGUCAACAAAUAAAGACUGAGGUGGAAUUUAGGGUACAAAGAUAGAUUCCAGUGGAUUUUCAGCGUAAUGCUUGGCCUGUGGAUUUUCAGCUAUAGCGAAUUUAUAUAGGGAUUCGAUGAACUACUCAAUCUAUAAAUUCCAUGCACCAUGCAUCCACGUCAAGGUUUAGCCAACCGUACCUCAAACCAUGGAUAAAAUCUACUAUCAUUCAGAAUUUUUGGAUGGACUUCAUCCUAGCGUCUUGGAGUGAUGAUGAACUGCGCAAAUGUACAUAGACCCUUGAUAAUUUCGUGAAUAUUCCGAUGCACUGUCUCAAGCGAGUGAUUGAAUCGGUCCGCAAUCAUGCGCAUCCGCAUGUUGUGACUCAUCAUAACUAAAGUCAUCGCAAGUGCCUAAUCUAUCGUCACCCUUUUUGCUGAUGGUGGGGAACAAAUCCACAAUCGGCCAAUAUGUCGCACAAUCUCAUAAAUGAAUCUACGGUUAACCUUGUUGCAUCCAUAAUUCGGGUGUGGUACCCUGACAUCACUUCUUCAACCCAGGCUCUGCCAGUUAAAGCUGAUGUCCUGCAUGGAACCUUUUGGAUAGGACCUCCGAAUGGUUCAGCAUCUGGACCGAACAAUAGGGCUGCACCAGCUGCAAAUAGAAGAUCGUCUUCGUCUGAGGAGGAACUGGUCGCAUCCCCAUACAUGCUGAAGUUAAGCAUAGAAUACGAAGUACUCUCCUCUAUGUGUGAAAAAUAACACACUUGUAUAUAGGUUGUGGGGAGGGACUCUUUACAAAUUUUGAAUGGUGAGGGUAGGAGUGCUUGGUUUGUAUUGCCGGUGAAUACUUAUAAAAGCAUCGCCGGUACGUCUAACUAUGGCAAAUAUUAAAGGACGCUUGUCAGUUCGUCUGUCCACCCCAUGUUCUCCUCUGCGAAUAUAGUAGUUUAGUCUGCAAAAAUCCAUGUGAGAAAUUUUGAUGGAUGGAUAGAGUCAAUAGUGAAGACAAAACGUGGAGUCCCUUCAUAUGACAUAGUAGUCCCCACCAACGCUAGUGGAAUCACUACUGAAAAUCUAUCAGCUCAUCACUUAGUAGGAAGAUCUGAAGCUAUGGACAAGGUACUUGUCCAAUUUCUUAAUAUAAUAUUAGAAUGGAUUCUAACUUAUACCAAGGACAUCUAUCUGCUCACCCCAUGUUCCAUUUGCAGUACUAUAGGACAAAUGCUUGGCACAUUGGGAUCAUUCGUUGCAUGAAAAUUUUCAAUUUCCUUUUUUUGUCCUGCAUGGGUUAAAGUUAAAGGUUUAUGUUGCCCAAUAAAUCGUUAUGUUAAACUUUCCAUUGCCUAAGCAGAUGCUAAAGAAGCACCAGAUGCAUCAUUCGUUUAAAGACCACAAAAUAAAAAAUGGAGAAACUUAUGAUAAGCAUGCUAAAAUUGCACAUAUAAGCAGUUCCUUAAUUAAAAAGUUCAUAUUGGAACAAUUUGCAAUUUACUUUUACCACAAUUCUUGUUUUAAGCAUACAAUUGAAAUAAAUUUUGUUGGUUCUCAAAAAAAUUACUUUUAAUAAUUACAAAAAAACAACCUAUAGGCUGUUGUUUGCCAUUUGAAGUAGAAAUGGUGAGUAAAGUGGAUUUAAUUAUUAGUCAGUUACUAUGCAUUUUUUUAGGGAUUCAAAAAUUGCGCAUCCACUUCGAUUGUACAAGGGAACUGCAUGUCACAUUUGCCUAGCAUGCACAAUAUAGUUUCCUGUCUAUGGACCCAGGUGCGUGAUUGGUAAGCUAAAAUGUUCAAAGGAGCCGUCACUUCAUUUGGUAUACAUGUAAGGCACUAAUAUAAUUUGUGUGGUUCAUAUAUAACCACUAAUAUAAGGCACCAAUAUAAGGCUCCUGUAAAGCUGUAAUAAGACACUUAUAUAUAACAUAGCAUCCAACCACGAGCAAGUGCCGAAGUUCAUUCCUAUUUUAUGCAAAAUCUCAAUACCACCAUACUAUAGGUAUAACAACAGAAAUUCACCAUUGGAAAACCACCUUCAUAAUAUAACAACAGCCAAGGACCAAGUUGGACCAAUAAUAUAAUAUAAGAACAGAAAUUAAUCUAGUACUGGAAGUGAAAAUGCAGUGAGUUAAUAGGAACUACUAAAAUUCGGGAGACUUAAUACAUAAAAUCUUUGUUUGGAUAGGGUAUUAUUUGAAAUAUUAUUUGGAAUAAUUACUGUAGCACUUUUUGUGAUGUGAUGUAUGUGAGAUAAAAAGGUGAUUGGGAAUAUAAAAAGGUGGGUUGAAAAAUGUGUUUAUGAUGCAAGCGAAAUAUUAUUUGGGAUAAGUUUUGUAUCCAAACACUCCCCUUGUUGCUCACUUAACAGAAAUCAGCCCAAAUAUGAACUACUCUUCAUCUGACCCCUUCUGUGGGGGAACUUCCAGAUUUCUAAUCCAGUACUCCUGAAGAUCGCGAGCCAUAGUCAGGAAAGUUUUAUGCCAUUUGUCAUCCUGAAGUUGUAAAAGAGCCGCUAAUUUGCGUCCUUUUGACAGGCCUUCGAAGGACUCGACAACCUGAUUUGCCAUUGUAUUUCUCAGAAUCGUUGGAGCGACGAUCCUUAAUUUGCAGUUUCACUGAGGCAAGGUUGUUGAGCGAGUUGGCACACUCAACAAAUGGAUUGUCGGAACUUUUGCUCGACUUGCUCCGGCGGGAUCCGUAUCCUGAGGUCGUUGCCCCUACGCUGGUCGAUCCUCUCUUUCUUCCAACUUUAGGAGCACAAUCGUAGCAUGCCACAUCUGGGUCACCACUAAUCAAUUCCUCACUCAAAUGUGAACUUGAUUGCCCUCCGAAAUGAGUAGCCAGAAUAUGUUGAGGCCCACGCGAAGAUGGAGAAGCAAAGGUUGAAGUUGCCUGGCUUCCAGUGGCAGUUUCUCCUUCGAAAACCUCGGAUAGUAUCUCAUAUUUGUCGACACACUGGUGGUAUCGCAAUUGGUUGUAGUCUUUAUUCUCCUAUCAAAUUAGAAAAAAAAUCCUUCAAGCCGCAUUUAAAGACCACAAAAUAAAGCGAAGACAUACAAUUAGUUAGCACAUGAGUACCUAUUCAUCCUAUUCUACCAUAGCAGCCAAGCACUAGUCGCAUUUUAAAAUUAUUCCAUUGCAAGUAAAGUAACAAGUCACUAGUCAGCCCGCCAGUUAUGAAUUAAUGAAUUAAGCAAUUGAAGGAAAAUAUAAUUGAUAACAAAUUGUGUUGUCCAAAUAUUCUUUGUUUGGAUGGCAGAUUACCAUUUGCAGAUUGGUCCACUGAGAUUCAUCGGCCAAGAAGCAUCUCCUAUUGUCGUCCUACCCAAUUCCAGUUUCGGCUGAGAGGCGUAAACCUUCUAAUUUGGAAAAUGCACACAAAAUCCUCUUCAAACGCGUGAACUUCGAAUGGUAGACAGUCCACACAUACUACUUGCCCCAGGCGGAAUUAAGGUGGGCAGCCAGUUUCAUCCAAUUUGCCUAGGUAGAGAUGUUUGGAUUCCACUCCCCACUUUUUUUCCACUCAACGAAUUCAUGCAGAAGUGCAUCUCCAUGUUUUCAUCCCAAUGAGCUUUUGGGGUGGUGUGGUCACGAGGCAUCUACAGAUUAAAGACUAAAGGACGUGCAUAUCAGUUCGUAGCAAUGCAUAACGAAAAGUAAACUGUCCAAGUGAUAUAACCGAAGGCAACUAAACCACCUUCCCGUGGUUGCAAGCCAAUAGACGUUCCAAGUGGUUGCAGCGCUUUUGAAAUAAUAACAUAUAUAAAAGAUGGACAAUGCACAAGGACAGAAAGGAACAAAUCAGCCAUCAAGGUGCUAAUUUGAACCCAAGCAUACGUCAAACUAUCAAGUAAAAUGGCACGUGUCAGGACAGAAAUUGAAUGGAGUAAACAGAUUUAGUUGGAGUAUGAUUAGUCAAGUUCAAUAUAGUACACCAAAGAAUGAUAUUAAAUGGAUGUAUGAAAGUGCCUAAACAGGGCCAAAGGUUGAAGACAGCAGCAUGAAAAUGGAAAGUAAAAAAAGUUUUUGCAUUGGGAAAUGAAUUUUUGGAUGGACUUACCUUGAAGUAGUUAACUAGGGAUUCGAUGUAGUCGUUUGAGGCUGUGACUGAGUGGACGGAAGAAAUCUCGGAUGCACAGGCGGGGGUAGGUGGACCGAACAAUGAUAGUCUGUGCUUGUUGGGCAUUUACUCCAUAUAAGGGUGUGUCAAGAGGAUUCCACUCAUGAGAUUGCCACACUCGAUACAAGUAGUUUAAAAUAGGAAGGUUUCAAAUUAUCUUAUAUUCUCAAUCUUCGUUACCGGAUGGGGGAGGAAAAUAUUUGACCGCCUGGGGAACUUGCCUAUGGUCUUUCUCUGUAAAAACAAUCAGCAUUAACUCGUUUUCAUUUUUUGGCCAAUUGUUCAAAAAUUAACUCUAAAACAGCAUUACUACAUACACUUGUGGCCAUUGAGAGCUCACCCCUAAUUUCCUAAAAUACCAGGACAGUUUUCAUCUGGUUUCCCUAGUAAAAUGGUGCAAGUGCCUCUCUCUCUUUCUUAAAGUCUGCUUCUCGAUUCUAGUCAGACUGUUAAGACAAAUUAUCUAGUGCGAAGCUGCACAAUAACCAUCCGACCAAGCAUAAGGUAUCUGAGUAGCUCUAGGAAACUCAUUUUGAAUCCCACAUCUAGAUAAUACUUUGUAUUUUUCCUUCUGGACAGAAAGGAUAUAUAACAUCAUCAUAACAGGGAACAGGUCAUUAUCCCUAGACUUGUAUAUCUUUUUCAAGCAACAGCAGACAUCUAUUUUACUUCUCCGGAGAGGGAAGUAAUAGGUUUGAAUCAUAUUUCAGCAUACUUAGAUAUUUAUAAACUUCAGCAUACAAACAAGUUAAGCCUACUUCAUCAUAUUUCUAAACAACAGAAAUUCUAUUAUCAUUUUGCAAAUAGCAACUAUACUUCAGCAACAUUCAAAUUCCGGUUAUAGAUUUCGAUGAAGUCUAUCUAACAAAAAAUAGAGGAUCUGCGACAAUCAAGAUUACUCUAAGAAUCAGUCUAAUUUAGAUCAGCAGGCAUUAUUCACUUUCGGGCAAACGCUAAUGCAUAUUUAACUCGAUUUAGAAAUAAACUUGCAAUUUCAUCCUAACUCACAAAUUCCGUGUCUAUAGGUGCCUAAUGGCAGUUCGAUAUGCCAAACUCUGAAGGCAAUUACGCGGGCAGCAACCCAAAAUUUCAGACUGCGUAAAAUAUAACUACAUGAUUUCCAAUUAGGGCUGACUCAUACAUUGGGCAAAUGCAUGAAAAAACUUGUAAAAAAAAAGAUUUGCAACUAACUGGGUUUUGAAACCGGAUUGGCAAAAUUGUUUUAGGUAUCACCUUUGAAUUUCCUCUAAAUAAGCUCCAGAAUAAUACCUCAAGCUCACGCUCUCCCGAAUACAACUCUGGUAUUCAGCUUGGCAUUCGCAAGUUAAUUACCCCAGAUCUGGCUGUCUAUUUCUGCCUCCACUGGUGACUUUUACGGAACUCUAACUGACGUCAACAGGCAAUAGCAAGCAUGGAUAGCAGAUAUCGUUUUGGUGUUAACUAUUUCUUGGUUGAAGGCGUAUACGUAUUGCAGCGGUGGCUAGAGUAUAUCUCUCAAGCAGCAAACAGAAACUCAUAGAAUUUGACUAAGCUCGAUAGUUUGUUCUCUUUCUCCUCUCUGGGUUUCACAACAACGGAUAGAUUUGAGUGGGUUUGGUUACCGUGUCAAUACGGAGGUAAUAAAGUUGUUGGGUGAGAAUUGAAUAAAACACGGUGGGUCCAUCUACCACGUGAACCCUGACUCCAGCACCACUUUUGUCUUAAUUUGAUGGGUACAACUUAGCUUUUGCUUGUGAACACCAAAUGCAAAAAAAGACGUGUCCAAACAAGGAUUUGAAAUUAAAUUUUGCACACUAAAUUAAGCAAUACAAAUUAACCAAUCCAAACGUAUCCAAUGAAUAAAAUAAUAAUAAUCGUGAUUAGCGCAUGUAAGAAGUGUUAUUAUAUGUUUAUUAGGGUUGCUGAAAUGGUUUUUAUACAUGCUAGUAGCUGUGGUCUCUCAUGUGUGUUGUCGUUUUUGGAUCCUUUUCUGUGUUGGUUGGGUCCUUUUCUGUGUUGGGUCCUUUUCUUUAUUUUGUUGGUUGAUGAUUAUCGCCUAAAUGGUUGGCAGGUAAUAGUAAUCUAUUUUCAAUUAGGGUUCACUACGGAGGCGAAUUCAUUGAUUUGCCAACCAAAAAAUAUGUUGGGGGGCAAGUCAAGAUUGUUGACUAUUGUAAUCCAGAUAUGUGGUAAAUUUGUACUUUAGAUAGGAUAGCAGAAAAGUUAGGUUUUCCUGAGUUUACUGCAAGUUACUAUUACUUAAGACUGGGGAUGACGAUGGAAGAUGGGUUAAUUUAUGUUAUGUGUGAAGAUGUUGCUCAAGAUUUGGCCAGAAAUGGAGUAAAAUAUUGGAUGGUUGAUGUAUUUGUUGUGCACCUUAAGCUGUACUCCAUUAGUGGUUGUGAACCUGAUCCAUAUAAGGGAAAUACGGAUGACGUUGCAAAAAACCAACAAAGGUCUCCUAGUGUAGAAGAAGUAGUGUUGACAAAUAUUCCAGCUAGUCAAACUCAAGCUGAGGGUGAAGUUGUUGACAGAGAUACUACUGAUUUUGGAGCUGAUGGGCAUAAGAAUGUAGCAGAUCCAGGUCUAGCGACCUUGCGUUGUACUGAAGAAAUAGCGGAAACAAACUUGGACCUACAGAAUAAAGGGACAUGUGAUCAUGAAAGUGUAGCUGAAUUAGGAGGGGAGAAUAUAGCUUCAUUUGGCAAUUCAAGAAAGGAAAAAAUAGUUAAGGUGAUAGUGGCAAGCAAAAAAACACCAACCAAAACAGCAAGUAAAAGAGCACCAACCAAAAUAGCAAGUAAAAGAACACCAACCACAGCAACAACUAGGAAGCAAGGGACAAAGAAGAGAAGCAACAAAAACACAUGUGCUGAAAAUAAGGAGGAAUCAAAUAAAGAUGAUGGGUUUAUUGAUAGUGAUUAUCAAUUUAGUGAUGAGGAGCAUGUAGUGCAACAAGUCAGACAAAGAAAAGCUGAGUGGGACAAAAUUGCGAGGAACAGUGGAUCCACUAAGGGGACAAGUAGUCAACCUGAAACGGUGGGAGCUGAAUUUGAUGAAGAUGCUACGGAAUCAGAAGAUUUUGACAGUGCCUGCGAUUCAGAAGAAGAGAAAAUGUAGCUAGGGAAAAGGGUCAAGUAUCCAAGGUUCAAUCUUAAUACGGACAUGCAAGACCCCAAAUUUUAGGUUGGUUAGACAUUUAUUUCAAAAAACCUGUUCAUCAAGGCAUGUAAGAGCCAUGGGGUGACUCAUGGAAGAAAAAUAAAGUUCAGCAAAAAUGAUACCAGGAGAGUUACAGCAUAUUGCAAUAACUGCAGUUGGAAAGUUUUCACUGCAAUUAUGCCUGACAAAAUGACAUUUCAAGUGAAAAGCAUGCGAGUUGAAUGCACAUGUGGGAGAACCUUCGAUCAUGGACUUGUAAACUCUACAUUUCUAGUUGAGAGAUACCAAAAGGAGAUCUCCCUUAUUCCUGAUAUGAAGGUAAGUAAUCUGAAAGGUAAGGUGAAAAAUGACAUGAAUGUUAACAUCUCUAGAUGGCAAACAUAUAGUGUGACGCCCCCGCUUCUCCCAAGGGCGAACUCUAGGGUAUCGGCGGGACGCCUGCCUAACUCGCGCCAGGACUCGAAAUUUCAAAACAAUAAAAACUAGAUAAACCAAAGGCAUACUAUUCACAAUAUAUUCAACUCCAAAAGAGUUCUAUUUACAUCCCAAAAAGUAGCUAUUCAGAACACUAUAUUACCUUAUGAUAAUGACCAAAACCAGAAAAUAUACCCGAAGAAGAGUCCUUAUACAGAUCACUAAAAUAAGGAUAAACAUCUUAACGGUUCAACUAUUACAAACAAACCUAACUAUACUAGUGAAUGUGCCAAGAAAUCUUCCGCGUCGGCCCCUGCUAAGGAAAAAAAAGGGAAAUGGGUAAACUAUAUGUUUAGUAAGUAAACAGGGGUAAAAUCGUAAAUUACAAAUUCAAAUAAACAUAUAAAUCCAAAUAUUUCACAUCAAUACAGAAGUGUAACAUCACAAUGGUAGGAUACGGGUUGGCUCCAAAGCCAAGUCGUUUGCCAUGUGUGACCUCCUGCCGACACUCCGUCAACCACAAAUAAGGUCCGUAGAACUCCACUUGUACUCUCACCUAACACCUUAUCACCCUCACUGGCCAGUCAUUUCACAAACUUGUUCGAGCGAACGAAACGAAAUUGAACUUGCUUCGCAAGAUCGGUUCACAAACUUGGUUCACAACUUGAACCUACAAACUUGGUUCACAACUCGAACCUACAAACUUGGUGGCCUCAAGACUAGGUUGGAGCUCGAAUAGUCCAUUUAGGUCUUGAAAUCGGGUCCCACAAAAGUCACCCCGAACUACAAGUUCAACGGGUUCAACACCAAAAUAAUUUAUGUAUACACAUCUCAUAAAGGUACACAAGUGCAAAUUAGGGUUUAGGUCGAGUGUGAUGAAGUACACCCUCGCCUAAGCACCCUUACAUUCAUCUCAAAACACAUAAGCAACGUAUACAAACAAAUAACCUGAGUACUUACACAAAAAACAAGUACAACAAAAUGUGAAGAUCACGUCACGUAUCCCAACUAGUAGGCCCCACUGGCACCGUCUAACUCACCACCAUCUGAAAUAGAAGAUUGCAUCACAAUAUAUCACAAAUGGCUACUAGAAUGCAUAAAUCAAGCAAAACGGUAAAAUUGGCACACGCAAGUGCAGAAACGGCAUACGGAAACGGAAAUGGCAGCAUAACCGUUUUGGUGUCAAAAAUUGUUUCGAACACAAUCGAAACUACGAGUGUCGGAUCAAAGUGCAUGAGGUACCGUUGUGAAGUUAAGAGGAAGGGCUACAAUUUUCAUUAAGACACCUUAAUCUAGAUCUGAAUGGAAGCAGGUCGAAAUUAUGGGAAACAGUACCAGAAAUUUGCAUUUAGGGUGACGGACAGGGUUUGUUUACUGGACCAUAACUCACAGCUCACAAACCCAAAUCAAUAAAUUCCAAAGGGGUUGGAAAGCUAUGUCAUAAUGCUAAAACUUUUAUGUUCUGGACAAAACCUGGAUCAAUACAGAGCAUAGGGAAAAAAUGGUCCAAAAUUCCUGUCAGAACUGUCCAAAUUCACAGGCAGUUCUGACAACUGAUCUUGGUUUGAUCAUAACUGAAGCUACGGAACUCGGAUUUGGAUGCACACUAUACCGUUUCGAAACUAAGACCAAGAUCUACAUUUCUUAUGAAGGAACCAACACCCAGUUCGUACGUUAUCAGGAUGAACUGAGCAUGGUCAGAGGCCAAAUCAAGAAACAUCACCAAAUUCACAGUUUUGCAUAACUAUUAGUGUUUUGGUCAUAACUCAGGCUACACAGAUCCGAUUGACCUGAAAUUUUGUAAACACAACAAGCACUUAAGAAGCUACAACUUUCAUGUUUUGAGAAACUUCUGAAUCAGCAUGUAACAUAAAAAAAAACAGAGCUCAAGUUCGGAAUUGUGGACUGCCCUGUUUCCAGUUUUGCCGGUUUCGCGCGCCGCAACCGCACAGUCCGUUUUUAUGGUUCUUAUACAAGCUUUCUAGCCAAACUCAUACCAAAUAAACACACACAUACCAGCUUCUAAUUGCUCCACAAAAGACCCAAAAUUUCUUUCCCAAUUUAAUCCCAAAACUUACCAAGCACUAACCAUAAUAAAGAUUCUAAUCUCCCCAACUCUAGCUACUUCAAAACUUAACCCAUUAAACCCUAACAAUCCAAGUUUUAACUAACCCAAACUAACUUCCCCUUAAUCUAGGGUUUCAUAACUAAACUGGAUUUGUUUAGGAUUCAUCCAUACAAGUAAAAUUAACACAUCAAGAAUUCCAUUUACAAGCCAAUUACUCAACCAAACCAACUAAGGAAAGUAUAAAGCAAGAAGCCCUAAUUUUUCCAUAAUCUUAACCGAAAUUUGGGCAGCAAUAAAUCACUGAAAUUAACCAUCAAAUUACUCAAUAAUCACUACAUAAACCACACAAGUUCACAAUCAUAACAAAACAUCACUUUCAUGACUUCAAAGCUUAAUCACUAAUUUUUAACUUCCAAGAGAGAGAUAUUUUACCUUCAAGAAAGCUUUGUAGGUGAAGAAUCUACCACAAUCAAGUGCCAAAGUUGUUUCCUCCAACUCCAAGAUCAAGAUGGAAACUAGAAGAUGAAGAACUUUGAAGAACUUUUCCUUUCUCUCUUACUCUUGCUCUCGGCCCUCUAUCUCUCUCACCCUUUGGUUUUAUUUUGUUUUGCUUCUUAUGAUUAUCUUGCCCAUCCUAUGAUAUAUAAGCUUGGUCAAAGUCUUGGAAGAUAUUUUUUACUUCCACCAAUCACACAAAAAUUGGAAUUUGCUCCUUAGCCCCUUACACCUUCACUUUGCAUUUGAUCAAUUCUUGCCCUUAAACAUUUGAAAAGCUUUCAAUUUACCCCAUAGGUCUUAAACUUAAUCUAGUCCAAAACAUGUAAUCACACUUAAUUACUUCACUAAUCACUUUCCUAUCUUAAUCACCUAUACUUAAACAUACUUUAUCCCACAUUAGAGCAAUUAAACAACAACCUUUUUGUCAAAGGCAAAAUUAGGGUUUUAACCCCAACUUAGGACUUCUAAUCGAUUAUAACACUAGAGGUUUUGCACAUUUAGGGUUUUUAACCUUUUUAAACCUACUUAACCUUGAUAAAAGAAAUCUAUUCCUAUACUUACCUGUACCAAAACACACAGUAAAAUACCAAACAUGCAAUACAACCCAAACUUAUGAAUAAUACAAAACUAGGGUUUCAAUCCUAACCCAAAUUAGAGUUUUCUAAUUAGCCCUAAAGCCCAGUUUUACUGCACAAAUCAUGAAUAUCACCUAAUAUCAAAUUUAGGAACUGACUUGGGUCUCACAACCUCCCCCACUUAGAACAAUUUCAUCCUCGAAAUUAAUGCCUUUGUUUGUGAACCAUAAAUACAGGGUUUACAAAGGAAAAGGCGUGGCACCUAGGUCCAUUAAACACUUGCGGUGCGCCGAAAAUAGAGAGCGUACCUUCGAUGCCCGCCGAAGGGUCAGUCACCUCCUGUUGACCCAUUGCAUAUACUCUGCCUGGUCCUUUGGGUCGAUUUUCCCCUACAUUUGACGGCUUAGCUGUGGUCCCUUCAGUCGGUGGCUUAAGUCUCUCUUUUUGCAUCUUAGGGCAGUGGGCAAUCAGAUAUUUCGUACUACCACAUUUAAAACAUUUUCGUACCGAACUAUUUUUCCAGCAAUUCUCAUCAGUGUGAUUGCCCCCACAGAAAUCACAGGUCGGCUUAGUUCCUAAUGUUGACCCUCUAUGCUGGCCACUCCUCUGGAACCUUUGCCAUACCUGACCUUUUUCCACAUUAUCUCGUGGACCACCAGUUCCUCGACCUAUCUUAGAGGGUGGCUCGUUUCUCGAGCUCUAUCCUUUGUGAAGUUGCUCAAGAUAGGUGGCCUUCUUUUCCGGUCAUGGAAGGCUUUGACUUGUCCCCUGGCGGUCUCAACUCGCUGAGCCUUUUCUAGGGUUUGGCUAAAUGUGUCCAACUGUGCGGCCGCUAGUGCUUCCUGGAUCUCCACAUUUAAACCUUGAACGAAGCGGCGGAUUCGUUUUGCUCCGUUAGCACCAGAUCCGGGGCAAAGCGGGAGAGUUUUGUAAACUGGGUUUCAUACUCCGCCACACUAGAUGCCCCUUGACGUAGGCGAAUAAAAUCAUCUUCCCGUUUCUCUUGCACAAUGGGCGGCAGAUAUUUUUCAUUAAAUUCCCGUGUAAAAUUAACCCAUGUUCAGGGGGUCUGUUCUCGCUCCCACUUGGCUUUAAUCACAUUCCACCAAGCUCAAGCAGCCCCCUCAAACUGAAAAACAGCAAAAGAUAUCUAUCGUUCCUCCGAAUACCCAAGUGCGGCAAAUAUAUCCAUCAUACGGUCCAUCCAACCCUCUGUUAGGUCAGGAUUAGGUCCACCUAUAAACUUGGGAGGUACAAAUUUUUGGAACCGUUCUAAUACACGGUCCUCUCCCUCGUGAUUGUCUGGAUUAUUUUCAGGGUUUCCUGUAGUAUUCCCAUGACCCUGACCCUAUUGCUCAACCAUACGUUCUAACAGGUCAGCCAUCCUGGAUGGCUGUAACUACCUGAUCUGGCUCGUUCUCAUUUCCUCCUUCGGGGUCUCUUCCUCGCCCUCUACCUCUACCACCGGAGUCCAUUUCGGUUCAAAAGUCUAUAAAUUGAAACAUAACGUGUACUUAUUAUUCAAGUCAUGAAAGAAAUAAAUAACACAAAACUUAUGCACAAAAGACACGCAAAAGAUAAGUUCAAAAGAUUAUGCUCAAAUAUAUACAUAUAUUUACAAAGUCACACCAAAAGAUAUACGAAUUAUCCGACAUCCGGUCGGUACAAAACCCUUUGUUUACAUAAGUACUCCGGUUCCAAAAAUGUGGUCAACUACCAGAUAACAAGAGAAACCAGGCAUACUGGUUAUAACAAAACAAGCAUGUCAGAUAGUCAAAAGGAAAUCCUAAUAACGGCCCUAUGCGCCUCCCCUAGGGCCCCAAUUCCCAACGGAACCUAAAGUGUCCACCUCGUCCAUCCGCUCUGGGCCGGUAGCUCGUGGUGGUACCUCCGCGGCCACAUCUAAUAAGACCUCACAGUCUAGCAUGAUACCCCGAGCCCUCUCCCUCAGCUGCCCCUUCAAAGCGAAAAGGUGCUGGUGUGUGUCAUGAAACUGACGAUGAAGAGCGUCCGUCCUCUCCACCUCAACUCGGAGGCUCUGCUCCAACUCCCCAAUACGCCUAGCCUGCCCGUGGCUAAUCUCUCUAGCCUCCUCCAGCUGUCUAACCAAGCGAUCGGCCACCUUCCCCAGGUAACGUCGCUCGUCAUCCACCGCCAGGACGACCUCGUUGGGGUAGCCGUACGUAUGGCGACACUCGCAGGAUCGGUGCGGCAUCCGACGAAAGGGUGAAUAUGAAAUAUAAGGCUCCCCACGCCUCCUCUGAUAUCGGAUCUCCCGCCUACGCAAUACUCGGUUCACCGAGCCCCCCGCACUCGGAGGUCUCGGUCCCGGUCCCGAUCCUACGCCACUGGGUCCCGCACCACUAGAAUUGCCCGAAUCCAUACUUACAAAUAUUAAUUCGUUAGUUCACCGGCAUUUCAGUUUAAAAUAUAUCAUUCAUUUUAAAAGAAUCAAAUAUGCCUAGUGCCUAUCGCGUAUGUCCCAAUUGCCCAAGUUCUCUAAUCUAGGCGCUCUGAUACCACCUGUGACAUUCCCGCUUCUUCCAAGGGCGAACCCUAGGGUAUCGGCGGGACGCCUGCCUAUUUCGCGCCAGGAUUCAAAAUUUUAAAACAAUAAAAACUAGAUAAACCAAAGGCAUACUAUUCACAAUAUAUUCAACUUCAAAAGAGUUCUAUUUACAUCCUCAAAAGUAGCUAUUCAGACCACUAUAUUACCUUAUGAUAAUGAUCAAAAUCAAAAAAUAUACCCGAAAAAGGGUCCUUAUACAGAUCACUAAAAUAAGGAUAAACAUCUUAACUGUCCAACUAUUACAAACAAACCUAACUAUACCAGUGAAUGUGCCAAGGAGUCCCCCGCGUCGGCCCCUGCUAAGGAAAACAAAGGGAAAGGGGUAAGUUAUAUACUUAGUAAGUAAACAGGGGUAAAAUCAUAAAUUGCACAUUCAAAUAAACAUAUAAAUCCAAAUAUUUCACAUCAAUACAGAAGUGUAAGAUCACAAUGGUAGGAUACGGGUUGGCUCCAAAGUCAAGUCGUUUGCCAUGUGUGGCCUCUUGCCGACACUCCGUCGACCACAAAUAAGGUCCGUAGAACUCCACUUAUACUCCCACCUAACACCUUAUCAUCCUCACUGGCCAGUCACCUCACAAACUUGCUCGAGCGAACGAAAUGAAAUUGAACUUGCUUCGCAAGCUCGGUUCACAAACUUGGUUCACAACUUGAACCUAUAAACUUGGUUCACAACUCGAACCUACAAACUUGGUGGCCUCAAGACUAGGUUGGACUAGUUUCGACCAAGCCCCGGCCGACUCGAAUAGUCCAUCUAGGUCUUAAGAUCGGGUCCCACAAAAGUCACCCCGAACUACCAACUCAAGGGGUUCAAUACCAAAAUAAUUCAUGUAUACACAUCUCAUAAAGCUACACAAGUGCAAAUUAGGGUUUAGGUCGAGUGUGAUGAAGUACACCCUCGCCUAAGCACCCUUACAUUCAUCUCGAAACACAUAAGCAACGUAUACAAACAAAUAACCUGAGUACUUACACAAAAAGCAAGUAUAGCAAAAUGUGAAGAUCACGCCACGUAUCCCAACUAGUAGGCCCCACUGGCACCGUCUAACUCACCACCGUCUGAAAUAGAAGAUUGCAUCACAAUAUAUCACAAACGGCUACUAGAAUGCAUAAAUCAAGCAAAACGGCAAAAUUGGCACACGCAAGUGCGGAAGCGGCAUACGGAAACGGAAAUGGCAGCAUAACCGUUUUGGUGUCAAAAACUGUUUCGAACACAAUUGAAGCUACGAGUGUCGGACCAAAGUAUAUGAGGUACUGUUGCGAAGCUAAGAGGAAGGGCUACAAUUUUCAUGAAGACACCUUAAUCUAAAUCUGAAUGGAAGCAGGUCGAAAUUAUGGGAAACAGUACCACAAAUUUGCAUUUAGGGUGACGGACAGGGUUUGUUUACUGGACCAUAACUCACAGCUCAUAAAUCCAAAUCAAGAAAUUCCAAAGGCGUUGGAAAGCUAUGUCAUAAUGCUAAAACCUUUAUGUUCUAGAUAAAACCUGAAUCAAUACAGAGCAUGGGGAAAAAUGGGUCCAAAUUUCCUGUCAGAACUGUCCAAAUUCACAGGCAGUUCUAACAACUGAUCUUGGUUUAAUCAUAACUGAAGCUACGGAACUCGGAUUUGGAUGCACUUUAUACUAUUUUGAAGCUAAGACCAAGAUCUACAUUUCUUAUGAAGGAAUCAACACCUAGUUCGCACGUUAUCAGGACGAACUGAGCAUGGUCAGAGGCCAAAUCAAGAAACGUCACCAAAUCCACAGUUUUGCAUAACUAUUAGUGUUUUGGUCAUAACUCAGGCUACACAGAUCCGAUUGACCUGAAAUUUUGUAAACACAACAAGAACUUAAGAAGCUACAACUUUCAUGUUUUGAGAAACUUCUGAAUCAGCACACAACAUAAAGAAAAAUAGAGCUCAAGUUCGGAUUUGUGGACUGCCCUGUUUCCAGUUUUGCCGGUUUCGUGCGCCGCAACCGCACAGUCCGUUUCUUUGGUUCUUAUACAAGCUUUCUAGCCAAACUCAUACCAAAUAAACACACACAUACCAGCUUCUAAUUGCUCCACAAAAGACCCAAAAUUCCUUUCCCAAUUUAAUCCCAAAACUUACCAAGCACUAACCAUAAUAAAGAUUCUAAUCUCCCCAACUCUAGCUACUUCAAAACUUAACCCAUUAAACCCUAACAAUCCAAGUUUUAACUAACCCAAACUAACUUCCCCUUAACCUAGGGUUUCAUAACUAAACUGGAUUUGGUUAGGAUUCAUCCAUACAAGUGAAAUUAACACAUCAAGAAUUCCAUUUACAAGCCAAUUACUCAACCAAACCAACUAAGGAAAGUAUAAAGCAAGAAGCCCUAAUUUUUCCAUAAUCUUAACCGAAAUUUGGGCAGCAAUAAAUCACUGAAAUUAACCAUCAAAUUACUCAAUAAUCACUACAUAAACCACACAAGUUCACAAUCAUAACAAAACAUCACUUUCAUGACUUCAAAGUUUAAUCACUAAUUUUUAACUUCCAAGAGAGAGAUGUUUUACCUUCAAGAAAGCUUUGUAGGUGAAGAAUCUACCACAAUCAAGUGCCAAAGUUGUUUUCUCCAACUCCAAGAUCAAGAUGGAAGCUAGAAGAAGAAGAACUUUGAAGAAUUUUUUCUUUCUUUCUUGCUCUUGCUCUCGGCCCUCUAUCUCUCUCUCUCUUUGGUUUUAUUUUGUUUUGUUUCUUAUGAUUAUCUUGCCCAUCCUAUGAUAUAUAAGCUUGGUCAAAGCCUUGGAAGAUAUUUUCUACUUCCACCAAUCACACAAAAAUUGGAAUUUGCUCCUUAACCCCUUACACCUUCACUUUGCAUUUGAUCAACUCUUGCCCUUAAACAUUUGAAAAGCUUUCAAUUUACUCCAUAGGUCUUAAACUUAAUCUAGUCAAAAACAUGUAAUCACACUUAAUUAUUUCACUAAUCACUUUCCUAUCUUAAUCACCUAUACUUACACAUACUUUAUCCCACAUAAGAGCAAUUAAACAACAACCUUUUUGUCAAAGGCAAAAUUAGGGUUUUAACCCCAACUUAGGACUUCUAAUCGAUUAUAACACUAGAGGUUUUGCUCAUUUAGGAUUUUUAACCUUUUUAAACUUACUUAACCUUGAUAAAAGAAAUCUAUUCCUAUACUUACCUGUACCAAAACACAUACUAAAAUACCAAACAUGUAAUACAACCCAAACUUAUGAAUAAUACGAAACUAGGGUUUCAAUCCUAACCCAAAUUAGAGUUUUCUAAUUAGCCCUAAAGCCUAAUUUUACCGCACAAAUCAUGAAUAUCACCUAAUAUCAAAUUUAGGAACUGACUAGGACAAAGAAAAAGGUAGAGAAACUCAUUGAAGGAGACUAUGCAGAUCAAUAUAAUAAGCUGUGGAACUACUGUAGAGAGGUCAAAAGGGCAAACCUCGGAUCAAAUGUGUUCAUGACUGUAACUAAAGAUGAUGAGGGAGAGGAUAGGUUUGAGAGAUUAUAUAUGUGUCUUUCAGCAUGCAAGAAAGGUUUUCUAACUAGUUGUAGGCCUAUUAUUGGAUUAGAUGGUUGUCAUUUAAGAGGUCCCCAUAAAGGUGUUUUACUUGCAGCAGUGGGAAUCGACCCAAAUGAUCAGUUAUAUCCUAUUGCAUUUGCUGUGGGUAAAGUUGAAAAUAAGCUUACUUGGAAGUGGUUUGUAACUGAAUUGGUGACUGACCUUGACAUAAAGGAUGAGGGUAAAUGAACCUUUAUGACUGAUAAGCAGAAGGUGAACUACUAAGCUGAUUUUUAUAUGGCUAUAUGUUUUGUCCAUUUUUAAUGCAAAGCUGUCUUUUAAUAUAUCUGUUAUGCUUUAUUCUUGAAGGGGAUGAUCCAAGCUUUGCACGAGAUUCUUCCAGAUGUGGAGCAUAGAAUGUGUGUACGACACAUGUACAACAAUUUCAAGAAACAGCAUAGUGGAUUGGCACUAAAGGAUAGAAUUUGGUCGCUUGCAAGAGCACCCUACAAGAAUUUAUUUGUUGCAUUGAUGGAGGCUUUAAGGGAAUUCAAUGAAAGGGCCUUUAAAUGGUUAGUUGAUAAUACAACACUUCAACAUUGGAUUAGAGCAUACUUCCACAUUUCUCCUAAGUGUGUCAUCCUGUUAAACAACCUCUGUGAGAGUUUUAAUUCUAGCAUUUUAGAAGCACGAGAGAGGCCCAUACUUGGCAUGUUAGAAACUAUUAGGCUAUAUUUAAUGACUAGAAUGGAGACCAAGAGGGAGUGGAUGAGAAAGUAUAGUGGAAGUGUGUGCCCAAAAAUUUUAAAGAAACUUGAAAAAGUAAAAAAUGCAGCAAGUAGUUGUAUAGCUACACCCUCGGGUGACUGGUUUUAUGAGGGAAGGUGCAUGUAUGGGGAUAGAUACUCUGUUAAUUUGGCUAGUAGGACAUGUAGUUGUAGGAGGUGGGAACUUAAUGGCAUUCCUUGCUCCCAUGCAAUGAGUGCUAUUGCAUUGACAAAGGAACCUCCAGAGAGUUUUGUGCAUGAAUGUUACUCCAAGGAGGCAUAUAUGAGGGCGUAUGAGCCUAUCAUAUAUCCUCUUAAUGGUGAGCACUUAUGGAAAGAUCUGAAAAAGGGGCCUGUACUACCCCCCGAGCAUAUCAAGCUUCUAGGUAGGCCAAAGAAAGUUCGAAGGAGAGAGCCUGAUGAGCCCCCAACUACAACAAGUAGUCGAGGGCAACUUAAAAAGCUGUCUAGAGCUAGGUUGAUGGAGUAUAAAUGCUGAAAGUGCAAAAAAUUAGGCCGCAACAGCAAAAAGUGUCCAGAAAAUGCAGAUGCAGCAAAUGGCAAUAGAAGAGCAGCAGCAAGUACACACCAUGUCAUUGUUAAUCCACCUAAGCAGGAAGCUACACAACAAAGAGAUGUUGCAAACACAUAUGAGGCAGCAAGUGGUCCACAUAUGGCAACAUGUGGUCAACAUGAGAUAGCAAGUGGUCCAAGAAAUGAAGAGCUUCAGCCACAACAACAAGAGAGUGUAUACCAGCCUCAAUUUUCUACUAUUGGUACAGACGCAAGUACUUGUUUCAAAACUGAACCAAUGGAUGAAACAAGUGCCUGCUUGACUGAUGAGGUUCUGCUUGAUCUCAUUAAUCAAAUACCUGGUCAACCAGCAAGUAGUCAGCCAUCUAAUCAACCACCCAGAGCCGAGAUGGCCCCUGUCCAGUUCACACUCUCUCUCUUUGUACCAAUUCAGUUUGUAGAUUUAUUGGGUUAUUAACUAAUGUUAGUUGCUUUUUCCUUACUUCUUGAUCAUGGUUAGGGUAAGAAAGUGAAGUACAGAUGUGGGGUAUGUCGAAAAUUCGGACACACUCGAAGUAAUUGUGACUCUACACUGGCUGUUCUUUAUAGAGGGCCCCUUAUGAACCACGUGGUUUGGCUGUAAGUUCUAUUUGUUGCCUAACCAUUAAACUUCACAUUUUUUAUUUUAUCCAGUGGUCUUUUUCUCAUUGUUGAUUUUUUUUUUUUUAUGUUCAGAGACAUAAGAAUGCAAAAGCUGCUACUACAACAAAGACCACUACUGCUGCAAAGAAGGCUUGAAUGAUUCUGCUAAAAGAAGCUACUGCUGCAUAAUCAGAGCUCUCAUAUCCUUUUGUGUAGUUCACUUUUUGGUUUUUGGAAACAAUUAGUGUCUUUUAACUAGGAUUGAUCUCAGAAGACUUUGCUCAACUUUUGACUUGUAUUUUAUGAAAGACAUGGACAAAUGAGAAGUAAUUGUUGGUGGGUAAUUAUGUGACCUGUUUUGCUGGUUCAGUUUUUGUUAUUACAGCAAUGGAAUUGAUCUCAGGAGACUAUGUUCAACUUUUGACUUGUAUUUUAUGAAAGACAUGGACAAAUGGGAAGUCAAUGUUGGGUAAUUAUGUGACCUGUUUUGCUAGUUCAGUUUUGUUGGGAAUUACGUGACCUGUUCUAUGAGCAAUUUUUACUAAAGCAGGAAUCAACAUUACAUUGUCUAAAGUGCUAUUUUAGUUUGAUUGGAGAAUGUUUCAAUUUAAUUAGUCGAUGCAUUUGGACAACACAUGCAACAUUGCAAACUCUGAAGUAUUUUGCAGAUUGCUAAACAAAGCAUUAUAUUCCAAUGCUACUUUAACAAUAUAUUCAUAACCAUACAACUAACAAUUAUCUAAAUCCCUUGCAUUAUCUUUAUAAAUUACCUAAUAGCUACUACGCCAGAGGCCCCUAAUUCACAACCCAGACAAACAUAUGCAACCAGUGCCAAAUUACUCUUUCCAAAGCCAUUGAUAGGCUACUACGCCAGAGGCCCCUAAUUCACAACCCAGACAAACAUAUGCAACUAGAGCCAAAUUACUCUUUCGAAAGCCAUUGAUAGAUUACAGUAACAAUGGCCAUGAAUUGCAUCAGAUUCAUUCUGCGCUCUUUUUGUUUUCUUUUCUCCACAUCAAUCUCCAAAUCUUUCACCUUCUUUGUUAACCUCCGUGUGUGCCUCACCAGUUUAUCGCAUCUCUCACAGCCGCUUGUUUCAUGCCACUUGAAGUACCCACAGCCACCUCCGCCAUUAGUAUGCUGGUCAUGGAGAACGGAGCUCAGAUUCUCCAAAAAAGGAAAACAAAAUAUUCUGAAGCAAAGACUUACUUCACAAUAGGCACAUCCAUAGAAAUUCUUUCCUGGGUUCUCAGCUGUCCACGAAGUCUUCACUGUGGCUGGUAUACCGCAGCUACAGUUUGGUGGUUCUCCCAUGGCAACUUCAAAGAAAUUUAGGGAUUUGAAGUGCUUUGAAGGAAGAAAGAUACUAAUCCUCUACAUUUUGGUCAAGAUCUGAGUGACUUGCCCUUUUUGUCCCUCAAAAGUUGGUCACGUGAUGUUCCCAUGACUGGGUCCGUCAAGAAUUCACACGGAAAAGCUAACAGGGACCAAAAUUGAUCUUUUUUGUUUGUAAUAGACUAAAAAUGCUGUUUUUCGUUGUCAAGAACUAAAUUUUCACAUCGUUAAUAUGUGAGAGAUGAUUUGUGCAAUUUUUCCUUUUACUUAUAUACUAAUUUGAAUUAAGUUCGAAUUGAAUUUAAAGUUUAUGACGUGUCCAAAUUUGAUUUGAAUAAUUUAAUUUGAGUCGAGUAUGAGUCGGAUUUAAAAUCUAUCAAAGUGUUAAAAUUUAAUUUGAUUAGUUCGCCAAUCAAUUUAAUUUAAUUAGUUGGCCAAUCAAAUUCAAACGGGUUUUUACUGAAUCAAUUUGGUUCAUUUUUUCAAACCCAUCGAUCAUAACAAAGUAUUUAGUUGAAUUUAUCAGUUAAAAAAAAAAGCAUCCAACAGUUGAAAAUUGUCAUCAAGUACUAACUAAUGAUCCAAUGGGUCAAAUUAGACAGCGCAAAAUAUUAAAUACAGUCGGACCCGAAAUUCAAACCAGAGAUUUCACCAGAGGCAAAUGGACACAGCCACGUGCCAUAAUUUUUGAGUGUAAAGUUUCAAGGUUGCUCAGCAGAAAGCCGCACCAUAGGUGAUUCAAUAGCUCUUAUAAGAGGCCCAUUUUUACUCUUCCCUACAAACUCGAGAGAUUUCUUAUGAUGAAGCAUGCUCAUCUUCUCUUCACUAAAGAAUUGCUUUUUUUUUUUGGUAAGAAACUAAAGAAUUGUUGUAUGCAGAAAAGGCUGGAGUAUAAUGGCCCAGAGAAUAGUUCCCGUCUCUUAACAUAUCUUUUUACAGUUUCAUUCUUUCCAGAAUUGAUACUUGCACAAAAAUAGAUGCUAGCAAAUAGCUGUUUGAUCAGAAAAUUGAACAUGCAUGUCUAUCAACAGUCACUAAUCAGCUAUUACACUAUCACUCAGGUUUGGUCUGAUCAAACAAAAAGAGAAAUUCUGCUGCAACAGCAAAUAAAACCAAAACGAUGCAUAGAACAUACAACUCCAGAUCUUGUAAGAUACGUUUCUAGCACAAUAAUAAACAAAAGCACAAGUUUUUCUAUAUCAUAUCGGUCC
rnacentral:lncRNA from 1 species